GAUCACCACCAACAUCAGCCUCUGCAGUGAACAUUUUACACCUGAUAGUUUUCUAAACUAGAAAACUGGGAUUCACUGAUAAACUGUUACUACUGGUGAAUGUGGCCGAACCGACUAUCUCCCGCCCCGGACUUCAUCCUCCCAUCCAGCCAACAACUGGUGCCAUCGUUGGCAGUAUGUCCCCACCAAUAAGUUCCCUUCCAACCACAAGUGAGACAGAGUGCCAGUGUGACAACAUGCAGAAAGUCACCAGAGAAGUUGGAUGUCAGACGGACCGCUUUAUGGGAAAAAGGACUGUGGCCACACAACUGUCUAAAAGAACACUAAGCAACAGAAAGAAUACAGCCUACCUCCUGCCUCAGUCCAUCCCUGCACUAGAGCCCCACCAGCCUCCAUUUUAAAAAAGUACUCCUGAUGAAUAAGAAGCACAACACAAGAAGCUAUGACGACCCUGUUGUGCUUUCCCAGGUAUCGAAGUUUUGUGCUGUCUCGUCUCUCUCUCCUCUCUUGCUGUCAGGUAUUUGUGCCUCCGGAGCUGCGAAGUCUGGAUCUGUGAUUGCUGGAACAGUGCUGCUGUCUCUAUGGUGGAGAGGAGGUGGUGUGGCUCAGAUCCUACUUAGUGGGCAUCACCUGCAGCUGCAUAAUUGUCCUUCUGGAUCCACCCUCUUCACUUGUUUUACAAUCUACAUUUUGUCAUCAUAAUUGUAUAUACACUUUGAUUUUCUGUUGUGAAUCUAUUCUACACCUGACAUCUAUUGCAUGUCUGUCCGUCCUGGGAGAGGGAUCC